rnacentral:rRNA from 1 species
ACACACGGCGGGUGCUAACGUCCGUCGUGAAAAGGGAAACAACCCAGACCGCCAGCUAAGGUCCCAAAGUUGUGGUUAAGUGGUAAACGAUGUGGGAAGGCUUAGACAGCUAGGAGGUUGGCUUAGAAGCAGCCAUCCUUUAAAGAAAGCGUAAUAGCUCACUAGUCGAGUCGGCCUGCGCGGAAGAUGUAACGGGGCUCAAACCACACACCGAAGCUGCGGGUGUCACGUAAGUGACGCGGUAGAGGAGCGUUCUGUAAGCCUGUGAAGGUGAGUUGAGAAGCUUGCUGGAGGUAUCAGAAGUGCGAAUGCUGACAUGAGUAACGACAAUGGGUGUGAAAAACACCCACGCCGAAAGACCAAGGGUUCCUGCGCAACGUUAAUCGACGCAGGGUUAGUCGGUUCCUAAGGCGAGGCUGAAAAGCGUAGUCGAUGGGAAACAGGUUAAUAUUCCUGUACUUCUGGUUACUGCGAUGGAGGGACGGAGAAGGCUAGGCCAGCUUGGCGUUGGUUGUCCAAGUUUAAGGUGGUAGGCUGAAAUCUUAGGUAAAUCCGGGGUUUCAAGGCCGAGAGCUGAUGACGAGUCGUCUUUUAGAUGACGAAGUGGUUGAUGCCAUGCUUCCAAGAAAAGCUUCUAAGCUUCAGGUAACCAGGAACCGUACCCCAAACCGACACAGGUGGUCGGGUAGAGAAUACCAAGGCGCUUGAGAGAACUCGGGUGAAGGAACUAGGCAAAAUGGCACCGUAACUUCGGGAGAAGGUGCGCCGGCUAGGGUGAAGGAUUUACUCCGUAAGCUCUGGCUGGUCGAAGAUACCAGGCCGCUGCGACUGUUUAUUAAAAACACAGCACUCUGCAAACACGAAAGUGGACGUAUAGGGUGUGACGCCUGCCCGGUGCCGGAAGGUUAAUUGAUGGGGUUAGCGCAAGCGAAGCUCUUGAUCGAAGCCCCGGUAAACGGCGGCCGUAACUAUAACGGUCCUAAGGUAGCGAAAUUCCUUGUCGGGUAAGUUCCGACCUGCACGAAUGGCGUAACGAUGGCGGCGCUGUCUCCACCCGAGACUCAGUGAAAUUGAAAUCGCUGUGAAGAUGCAGUGUAUCCGCGGCUAGACGGAAAGACCCCGUGAACCUUUACUGUAGCUUUGCACUGGACUUUGAGCCUGCUUGUGUAGGAUAGGUGGGAGGCUUUGAAGCGUGGACGCCAGUUCGCGUGGAGCCAUCCUUGAAAUACCACCCUGGCAUGCUUGAGGUUCUAACUCUGGUCCGUGAUCCGGAUCGAGGACAGUGUAUGGUGGGCAGUUUGACUGGGGCGGUCUCCUCCUAAAGAGUAACGGAGGAGUACGAAGGUGCGCUCAGACCGGUCGGAAAUCGGUCGCAGAGUAUAAAGGCAAAAGCGCGCUUGACUGCGAGACAGACACGUCGAGCAGGUACGAAAGUAGGUCUUAGUGAUCCGGUGGUUCUGUAUGGAAGGGCCAUCGCUCAACGGAUAAAAGGUACUCCGGGGAUAACAGGCUGAUACCGCCCAAGAGUUCAUAUCGACGGCGGUGUUUGGCACCUCGAUGUCGGCUCAUCACAUCCUGGGGCUGAAGCCGGUCCCAAGGGUAUGGCUGUUCGCCAUUUAAAGUGGUACGCGAGCUGGGUUUAGAACGUCGUGAGACAGUUCGGUCCCUAUCUGCCGUGGACGUUUGAGAUUUGAGAGGGGCUGCUCCUAGUACGAGAGGACCGGAGUGGACGAACCUCUGGUGUUCCGGUUGUCACGCCAGUGGCAUUGCCGGGUAGCUAUGUUCGGAAAAGAUAACCGCUGAAAGCAUCUAAGCGGGAAACUUGCCUCAAGAUGAGAUCUCACUGGGAACUUGAUUCCCCUGAAGGGCCGUCGAAGACUACGACGUUGAUAGGCUGGGUGUGUAAGCGUUGUGAGGCGUUGAGCUAACCAGUACUAAUUGCCCGUGAGGCUUGACCAU